rnacentral:rRNA from 1 species
AGCAGUCGCCGCGGUAAUACAGAGGGUGCGAGCGUUAAUCGGAUUUACUGGGCGUAAAGCGUGCGUAGGCUGCUUUUUAAGUCGGAUGUGAAAUCCCUGAGCUUAACUUAGGAAUUGCAUUCGAUACUGGGAAGCUAGAGUAUGGGAGAGGAUGGUAGAAUUCCAGGUGUAGCGGUGAAAUGCGUAGAGAUCUGGAGGAAUACCGAUGGCGAAGGCAGCCAUCUGGCCUAAUACUGACGCUGAGGUACGAAAGCAUGGGGAGCAAACAGGAUUAGAUACCCGAGUAGUCCCUGUCUCUUAUAC